rnacentral:rRNA from 1 species
UUUUAUUUGAGAGUUUGAUCCUGGCUCAGGAUGAACGCUGGCGGCGUGCCUAACACAUGCAAGUUGAGCGAUUUACUUCGGUAAAGAGCGGCGGACGGGUGAGUAACGCGUGGGUAACCUACCCUGUACACACGGAUAACAUACCGAAAGGUAUGCUAAUACGGGAUAAUAUAUUUGAGAGGCAUCUCUUGAAUAUCAAAGGUGAGCCAGUACAGGAUGGACCCGCGUCUGAUUAGCUAGUUGGUAAGGUAACGGCUUACCAAGGCGACGAUCAGUAGCCGACCUGAGAGGGUGAUCGGCCACAUUGGAACUGAGACACGGUCCAAACUCCUACGGGAGGCAGCAGUGGGGAAUAUUGCACAAUGGGCGAAAGCCUGAUGCAGCAACGCCGCGUGAGUGAUGAAGGCCUUCGGGUCGUAAAACUCUGUCCUCAAGGAAGAUAAUGACGGUACUUGAGGAGGAAGCCCCGGCUAACUACGUGCCAGCAGCCGCGGUAAUACGUAGGGGGCUAGCGUUAUCCGGAUUUACUGGGCGUAAAGGGUGCGUAGGCGGUCUUUCAAGUCAGGAGUGAAAGGCUACGGCUCAACCGUAGUAAGCUCUUGAAACUGGGAGACUUGAGUGCAGGAGAGGAGAGUGGAAUUCCUAGUGUAGCGGUGAAAUGCGUAGAUAUUAGGAGGAACA